AUGCGGACCUUGGUUUGGAACUGUCGUGGGAUUGGCGACCCCGCCACGGUCCGAGAGCUCCGCAAUCUCGUGGAGGCUUGUGCGUCGUCGGUUCUUUGCAUUGUCGAAACCCAGCUGGCAAAGGAACGAGUGGGGGGCUUGGCUGUUGUUUUAGGCUAUAAUAACAGAUUUGCAGUUCCUAGUUCAGGUCGUAGUAGUGGCUUAUGUAUAUUUUCGAAGGAUGGCGUCAAUCUAGAAAUAAAAAACUUUUCUCAGUACCAUAUUGAUUCUUGGAUUUCAGAGGCAGGGAAGGAUCAGUGGCGGCUCACUUGUUUCUAUGGUGAAGCUAACAGAAGUUUGAGAUACAAAACUUGUGAUACCAUGAAAAGACUGAGAGGGGAAAGCACAUUGCCAUGGGUGUGUAUAGGUGACUUCAAUGAGAUCCUCAGGCCUGACGGACAGAUGGGUCCUAACCCAUGUGACAGCUCUCAGAUUGUAGGUUUCCGUGACGCAGUUGACAUAUGUGGAUUAUCUGAUCUAUGA
rnacentral:rRNA from 1 species